GAACCUUACCUGGCUUGAACCGCAGGGACCACCGGUAGAAAUAUCGUCUUCCCCCAAAGGCCCCGUAGAGAGGUGCACAUGGCUGUCGACAGCUCGUGUCGUGAGAUGUUGGUUUAAGUCCCGCAAAGAGCACACCCUUUAUUGUCAGUCCCCAUCAUUCAGUUGGGCACUCUGGCGAAACCGCCUCGGAUAACGGGGAGGAAGGUGGGGAUGACGUCAAGUCCUCAUGGCCUUUAUGUCCAGGGCUACACACGUGCUACAAUGGUCGGUACAAACCGUCGCAAACCCGCGAGGGGGAGCUAAUCGGAAAAAGCUGACCUCAGUUCGGAUUGGAGUCUGCAACUCGACUCCAUGAAGCUGGAAUCGCUAGUAAUCGCGGAUCAGAACGCCGCGGUGAAUACGUUCCCGGGCCUUGUCACACCGA
rnacentral:rRNA from 1 species